rnacentral:rRNA from 1 species
GUCUACGCCGUAAACGAUGCGCACUAGGUUUGUACGUCACUGACGGCGUGCGAACCGAAACAAAAGCGAUAAGUGCGCCGCCUGGGGAGUACGGCCGCAAGGCUAAAACUCAAAGGAAUUGACGGGGGCUCACACAAGCGGUGGAGCAUGUGGCUUAAUUCGAGGCAACGCGAAGAACCUGACCAGGGUUUGACAUGCAUGGAUUAGUCCCGUGAAAGCGGGAUGACGCGGCUUGCCGUGGAACAUGCACAGGUGCUGCAUGGCUGUCGU